UUUUCCUUAUCUCUCUCCGUUGACUGAAGAAUAUAAAGACAGUUACCCUUAUGGGCUUAGGUGUGACAACCGAAAAUCGUCGCGCGCUUGCGCCCUCUCAGUUAUUUCAACGGCGGCGUUAUGAACUUAUUCCAGAAAAUCCGAGGCUUACCGACCUCGGCAUGUUGCUGGUUGCAAU